rnacentral:rRNA from 1 species
UGGGGAAUCUUGCACAAUGGGGGCAACCCUGAUGCAGCGACGCCGCGUGAGCGAUGAAGGUUUUCGAAUCGUAAAGCUCUGUCCUAUGGGAAGAUAAUGACGGUACCAUAGGAGGAAGCCCCGGCUAACUACGUGCCAGCAGCCGCGGUAAUACGUAGGGGGCGAGCGUUGUCCGGAAUUACUGGGCGUAAAGGGUUCGCAGGCGGCCUGGCAAGUCCGAUGUAAAAGGCGAAGGCUCAACCUUCGUAAGCAUCGGAAACUGUCAAGCUUGAGUGAAGGAGAGGCAAGUGGAAUUCCUAGUGUAGCGGUGGAAUGCGUAGAUAUUAGGAGGAACACCGGUGGCGAAAGCGGCUUUUUGGCCUGCAACUGACACUGAGGCGCGAAAGCGUGGGGAGCAAACAGG